rnacentral:rRNA from 1 species
GAUAGUGAACAAGUACCGUGAGGGAAAGGUGAAAAGUACCCCGACAAGGGGAGUGAAAUAGUAUCUGAAACCAAGUGCUU